CCGGCGAACGGGUUCGUAACACGUGAGAAACCUACCGAGAUGAGGGGGAUAGCCGGCCCAACAGGCCGGGUAAUCCCGCAUACGAUCAUUUGGGGGAGUCCCCGAAUGAGGAAACUCGUAAGAGGCAUUUCGAGGGGCUCGCGGCCUAUCAGCUAGUUGGCGGGGUAAUGGCCCACCAAGGCGACGACGGGUAGCUGGUCUGAGAGGAUGACCAGCCUCACUGGGACUGAGACACGGCCCAGACUCCUACGGGAGGCAGCAGUGGG
rnacentral:rRNA from 1 species